CCUACGGGUGGCAGCAGUGAGGAAUAUUGGUCAAUGGACGCAAGUCUGAACCAGCCAUGCCGCGUGCAGGAAGACGGCGCUAUGAGUUGUAAACUGCUUUUGUACGAGGGUAAACGCAGAUACGUGUAGGUGUCUGAAAGUAGCGUACGAAUAAGGAUCGGCUAACUCCGUGCCAGUAGCCGCGGUAAUACGGAGGAUUCAAGCGUUAUCCGGAGUUAUUGGGUUUACAGGGUGCGUAGGCGGUCGGAUAAGUUCGAGGUUAAAUCCCGUGGCUCAACUUCGGAAUUGCCUCUGAUACUGUUCGGCUAGAGCGUAGUUGCGGUAGGCGCAAUGUAUGGUGUAGCGGUUACAUGCUU
rnacentral:rRNA from 1 species